rnacentral:rRNA from 1 species
GACGAACGCUGGCGGCGUGCUUAACACAUGCAAGUCGAACGGUAAGGCCCUUCGGGGUACACGAGUGGCGAACGGGUGAGUAACACGUGGGUGAUCUGCCCUGCACUUCGGGAUAAGCCUGGGAAACUGGGUCUAAUACCGGAUAGGACCACUGCCUGCAUGGGUGGUGGUGGAAAGCUUUUGCGGUGUGGGAUGGGCCCGCGGCCUAUCAGCUUGUUGGUGGGGUGAUGGCCUACCAAGGCGACGACGGGUAGCCGGCCUGAGAGAGUGACCGGCCACACUGGGACUGAGAUACGGCCCGGACUCCUACGGGAGGCAGCAGUGGGGAAUAUUGCACAAUGGGCGCAAGCCUGAUGCAGCGACGCCGCGUGAGGGAUGACGGCCUUCGGGUUGUAAACCUCUUUCAGCACCGACGAAGCGCAAGUGACGGUAGGUGCAGAAGAAGGACCGGCCAACUACGUGCCAGCAGCCGCGGUAA